GGGCGGGUAUAUGAAUGUGCACUGAGCUAUCAUAGUUUAAAAGUAACAAGCCCUUUUUUUUUUUUUUUACUUUAGAUUGGCCCAUUGACUCAGAAACUGAGCUCACACCUCUUGAAAAUGUGCUUGUCCUUCUGGAGAAGCUCGGAGAGGAAUGCCACAUCAGUGGGGAAAUAAUAGAGGAAUUAAAGAGAAGAAUAAAAGAGGCUGCUGUUAUCACCUGUAUUCAGAACAAAGAUUAUGAACAUGCCAGCAAAAUCUUAAGAGAACACAUGUCACAGGAUCCAAACUGCAAGCAAAUGUCUGUAAUUUUGAAUCACAUCAUCCGAAAGAAAAACCCAUCUCAUCCAGCCAUCUGUAAUUUGUCCUGCAAAGUUUUCCAGCAACGGAUUUUUCUCGUCUUUAAAUCUUACUUGGACGAUUCUGAGCCAUUUCUCUUAGUGGUGAGUGUUGCUUUUCAGGCCAGUUUGGUCUUAAUG